rnacentral:lncRNA from 1 species
GGUCCCUGCACUCCGGCGCUGCCGCUCCCGCGCCGCCAACGGCGGGGGAUUUCUGCCUCCCCGGCCCCGGAGGGGGAACGCGACCUGUUCGCCGGCACGCGCGGAGCCGUCCCGGGGCAGGAGAAAAUCCAGGACCCCCAUGGAGAAAGUGCUUAUAAAUCAAAAAGGAAGAGAAGAGGCUUCAUCAGAGGAGCUAUUCACAGUGCUAUAUAUGAACCAACGAAGCAAGAUCCCUUUCCAAGGAGAUUGGCACAGAUUUAUACACCUGGUCACAGGCACCUGGCACCCCUCUGACACUGCUCCCGCCACUGGACAGAAGAGGCAAAGCAUUCGCCAAACCAUUGAUUUCAAGCAUGUGUGUGUGGUACUAUUAGUGGAAGUGAGAUUCAAGGGGAAUUUACCAUUGAAAGAGUGGCAAAGCAGUCUGUGCAACAAGAUGGGGCUGUGA